rnacentral:tRNA from 1 species
AAAACUAUAGUCAAAUUUAUGACAUAUGAGUUGCAUUCAUAAAGUGUUUUUAAACUAGUUUUA